rfam:Gallionellales bacterium GWA2_55_18 gwa2_scaffold_2534, whole genome shotgun sequence.
GCCCAUGUGGCUCAGUGGUAGAGCACUCCCUUGGUAAGGGAGAGGUCGCGAGUCCGAUUCUCGCCAUGGGCA